AAAGGUCAGGGGGUUUGGAUUGGUCUGAGUGACGCUGAAACAGAGGGGGUCUGGAAAUGGGUGGACGGAUCAGAACUGAUCACUGGGUUCUGGGGAACUGGAGAACCUGGCUUUUCCAGUAACUGUGUUGUAUACGGCUAUGGGUCUGAUCCUGUGAGGAAAUGGGCUACUUUUCCCUGUAAUAACUGGUUUGUUUGGAUCUGUGAAAAAAGAUUAUAAAGAGUAGAAAUUGUUUGAGAAGAGUUUAUGUAUUUCAGGAUUCACUGCUACAGCUACAGCUAGUGAUAAUAACAGCCACACUUUUUCCUUCCUCUGUUUGAAUUAUUCUUUUUCUUUGCUCUGCCUUAAAGUAGAUUUUUUUGUAUGUCAAUUAAAUAAAAUAAUUUCAGAAUAUUCUUGAAGGGCUUUUUAUCCCCUAUCUUUUUAAUAAAGGCAGUGAGAACUAGGACUUUUUGUAAGGGGAAAGUGUUCUUUUAUAUUUGCGUUUCUCUUCCACCAGUAGAUAACUUUGUAGUGUUACAGUUUGGGGUGUUAGAUUGUUUAAAGUUGUUUUAAGUGUAUUUGCUUUGAUGAACUCUUUCUUUUAGCUUUAGAUGGUUAUUAGCUGUAAACUGAUUCCACUGUAAAGCAGUACAUCACUGUAUGUAUAGUGACUUACAACAUUUGUGGAAUUACAGUAAACUGCAAAAAAAAAAUAAACUAAA